rnacentral:misc_RNA from 1 species
GAUGAAGAACGUAGCAAAAUGCGAUACUUGGUGUGAAUUGCAGAAUCCCGUGAACCAUCGAGUUUUUGAACGCAAGUUGCGCCCGAAGCCUUUUGGCCGAGGGCACGUCUGCCUGGGCGUCACGCAUCGCGUCGCCCCCCACAAUUCUCCGUAAAGGGAACGUGUGUUUUGGGGGCGGAUAUUGGUCUCCCGUGCUCAUGGCGUGGUUGGCCGAAAUAGGAGUCCUUUCGAUGGACGCACGAACUAGUGGUGGUCGUAAAAACCCUCGUCUUUUGUUUCGUGCUGUUGCUCGCAAGGUAAACUCUUUAAAAACCCCAAUGUGUCGUCUCUUGACGACGCUUCGACCGCGACCCCAGGUCAGGCGGGACUACCCGCUGAGUUUAAGCAUAUCAUAAGCGAGGA